rnacentral:rRNA from 1 species
UACGAAGGGGGGCUAGCGUUGCUCGGAAUCACUGGGCGUAAAGGGUGCGUAGGCGGGUCUUUAAGUCAGGGGUGAAAUCCUGGAGCUCAACUCCAGAACUGCCUUUGAUACUGGCGACCUUGAGUCCGGGAGAGGUGAGUGGAACUGCGAGUGUAGAGGUGAAAUUCGUAGAUAUUCGCAAGAACACCAGUGGCGAAGGCGGCUCACUGGCCCGGUACUGACGCUGAGGUGCGAAAGCGUGGGGAGCA